rnacentral:tRNA from 1 species
AGUAGAAUGGCUGAGUAAUAUAGGCAAUAAACUGUAAAUUUAUCCACGAAUCAACCUAGAUUCUUCUACUA